CGGCCAACUUUAAAGACCGAAGAAGCGGACGACCCUUCAGUCAUUUCUUUGUGAUCGUCGACUGAAGCACCUCAGGUGCUGCUGGUCUCUUUCAACAAGUGGUGCCACUCACUGGGUCCAAAGGGGUUUGUAUUAUGCAUUUCAGGAAGUGAAAUUCUUUACACACUGGACUUAAAUCAGAUGCUAUUUUUCCUGCAGAAGCCAUCAGCCUUAUAACCAUCUAAUGUGAACUUCUUUUCAAAGCCUAAUAUCCUGUAUUUGCUCUGAUUGAUUAAACAAAACUGUCUAUUGCA